ACCGUACCAUGGAAGGUUGGGGGAACAGUUGGAACGACUGCUAAUACCGCAUAAUGUCUACGGACCAAAGGGGGCUUCGGCUCUCGCCUUUAGAUUGGCCCAAGUGGGAUUAGCUAGUUGGUGAGGUAAUGGCUCACCAAGGCGACGAUCCCUAGCUGGUUUGAGAGGAUGAUCAGCCACACUGGGACUGAGACACGGCCCAGACUCCUACGGGAGGCAGCAGUGGGGAAUAUUGCACAAUGGGCGCAAGCCUGAUGCAGCCAUGCCGCGUGUGUGAAGAAGGCCUUCGGGUUGUAAAGCACUUUCAGUCAGGAGGAAAGGUUAGUAGUUAAUACCUGCUAGCUGUGGCGUUACUGACAGAAGAAGCACCGGCUAACUCCGUGCCAGCAGCCGCGGUAAUACGGAGGGUGCGAGCGUUAAUCGGAAUUACUGGGCGUAAAGCGUACGCAGGCGGUUUGUUAAGCGAGAUGUGAAAGCCCCGGGCUCAACCUGGGAACUGCAUUUCGAACUGGCAAACUAGAGUGUGAUAGAGGGUGGUAGAAUUUCAGGUGUAGCGGUGAAAUGCGUAGAGAUCUGAAGGAAUACCGAUGGCGAAGGCAGCCACCUGGGUCAACACUGACGCUCAUGUACGAAAGCGUGGGGAGCAAACGGGAUUAGAUACCCCGGUAGUCCACGCCGUAAACGAUGUCUACUAGAAGCUCGGAGCCUCGGUUCUGUUUUUCAAAGCUAACGCAUUAAGUAGACCGCCUGGGGAGUACGGCCCGCAAGGUUAAAACUCAAAUGAAAUUUGACGGGGGGCCCGCAACAAGCCGGUGGAGCAUGGUGUUUAAAUUCGAUGCACCGCGAAGAAACCUUUACCCUUACACCUUGACCAUACAAGAGAAACUUUACCAGAAGAGAUGGGUUUGGUUGCCCUUUCGGGAAACUCUCUGAUACAAGGUUGCCUGCCAUGGGUCUGAUCGUCUAGCUCUCGUGGUUUGU
rnacentral:rRNA from 1 species